GCCGCCGUAGCUCAGCCGGUAGAGCGCCGGCCUCGUAAGCCGGUGGUCGCGGGUUCAAGUCCCGCCGGCGGCU
rnacentral:tRNA from 3 species